GAUGCCCCUCUCUCAGUGCAGGCCCCAGAAGGUCAGAGACGCAACUUCCUGUCCUGGACAAUGGCAAUAAAGAUGUCCGAGGACACUUCCCACCCUUCCCGUGCCUGCUGAGGUUCACAGGCCGAGCCUGCCCUGGGAACAGCCCUCUGGUUCUGGAUCAGGAAGCCAGCUGUGCCUCCCUCCAAGUCUGCUCUUCCCACCAAGAUGUAGAAACGGAGUCUGGGAAAGGCCACACAGCUGUUCCCUGAAGGAGCUGGGACUCUGACCCAGGGCUGCCUCGCUUCAAAGCUGGUGCUCUGUCAGCUACAGCAGGUCCGGGCCCUUCUUCCCGAUUCACUCCUAGGGGCGCUUUGGGGAUCCU